rnacentral:rRNA from 1 species
GACGAACGCUGGCGGCGUGCCUAAUACACGCAAGUCGAACGCUUUUUCUUUCACCGGAGCUUGCUCCACCGAAAGAAAAAGAGUGGCGAACGGGUGAGUAACACGUGGGUAACCUGCCCAUCAGAAGGGGAUAACACAUGGAAACAGGUGCUAAUACCGUAUAACACUAUUUUCCGCAUGGAAGAAAGUUGAAAGGCGCUUUUGCGUCACUGAUGGAUGGGCCCGCGGUGCAUUAGCUAGUUGGUGAGGUAACGGCUCACCAAGGCAACGAUGCAUAGCCGACCUGAGAGGGGGAUCGGCCACACUGGGACUGAGACACGGCCCAGACUCCUACGGGAGGCGGCAGUAGGGAAUCUUCGGCAAUGGACGAAAGUCUGACCGAGCAACGCCGCGUGAGUGAAGAAGGUUUUCGGAUCGUAAAACUCUGUUGUUAGAGAAGAACAAGGAUGAGAGUAAAAUGUUCAUCCCUUGACGGUAUCUAACCAGAAAGCCACGGCUAACUACGUGCCAGCAGCCGCCGUAA